rnacentral:tRNA from 1 species
GGGGUCGUGGGUGAGAGGCUGAAACCACCUCCCUGCUAAGGAGGCAGUCCGCAAGGGCUCGAGGGUUCGAAUCCCUCCGACUCCG